GAUGAACGCUGGCGGCAUGCUUAAUACAUGCAAGUCGAGCGAACGGACGGGAAUUUUCUUUCUCUGAGGUUAGCGACGGAUGGGUGACUAACACGUAGCUAACCUACCUGUUAGACUGGGCUAACUUCGGGGAACGGUAGCUACUACCGGAAAAUAUUUAGAACCGCAUGGAUCUAUGGUAAAAGUCAGUCUUGCUAUCACUUUUAGAUUGAUCCGCGCUGCUUUAGCUGGUUGGUAAGGUCACGGCCUACGAAGGCAACGAGGCCUAGCAGCACGGAGAGGGUGAUCAGCCACACUGGGACUGAGACACGGUCCAGACUCCCACGGGAGGCAGCAGUAGGGAAUCUUCCGGAAGGGGCGAAAGCCUGACGGAGCAACGCCGAGAGAGUGAUGAAGGUCUUCGGAUCGUAAAACUCUGUUAUUAGGGAAGAACAGUUGUGUAAGUAACUGUGAACGUCUUGACGGUACCUAAUCAAAAAGCCACGGCUAACUACGUG
rnacentral:rRNA from 1 species